CCUACGGGAGGCUGCAGUGAGGAAUAUUGGUCAAUGGACGAAAGUCUGAACCAGCCAAGUAGCGUGAAGGAUGACUGCCCUAUGGGUUGUAAACUUCUUUUAUAUGGGAAUAAAAUGUUCCACGUGUGUGAUUUUGUAUGUACCAUAUGAAUAAGGAUCGGCUAACUCCGUGCCAGCAGCCGCGGUAAUACGGAGGAUCCGAGCGUUAUCCGGAUUUAUUGGGUUUAAAGGGAGCGUAGGUGGAUUGUUAAGUCAGUUGUGAAAGUUUGCGGCUCAACCGUAAAAUUGCAGUUGAAACUGGCAGUCUUGAGUACAGUAGCGGUGGGCGGAAUUCGUGGUGUAGCGGUGAAAUGCUUAGAUAUCACGAAGAACUCCGAUUGCGAAGGCAGCUUACUGGACUGCAACUGACACUGAGGCUCGAAAGUGUGGGUAUCAAACAGGAUUAGAUACCCGGGUAGUC
rnacentral:rRNA from 1 species